ACGGAUCCAACGUAUGAGUACGUUGGAAAGCUAGUCCAGGAGGCGAUGGCCAGCAACGAGCAGUGCACGUCCCUCGAUGAGGCAGCAAUAGCCAAGAAGCGCAUCUUUCCGGCACCCAUGAAUGCCGCCUUUACAAGGCCUUCCAAAAGGGAACUCGUGGAGGAAAAGAGGUCCCGGUUCGGCCAGGUUACCCCGUGAGGGACCUCCUCAAAUCCCUCCUGUCACCCGUGCACUCGAUGGACACCUGCC